GGGCUGUUAGCUCAGUUGGUAGAGCAGUUGACUCUUAAUCAAUAGGUCCAAGGUUCUAAUCCUUGACAGCCCACCA
rnacentral:tRNA from 1 species